AGCUUAGUGAGGUUCCAAGGAAGCUCGGAGUGCUUCGUUGGAAGUUUUUGGACGUAAGAACACGGAGAUCGAUAAGUUCAAAGUUUGGCCGGAGCUUUCGAGGCGUUUUCCGGCGAAUCCCCGGCGAGUUAGGAGUCGAGGUAGG
rnacentral:sRNA from 1 species